rnacentral:sRNA from 1 species
CUUCCCACGCGACUUCCUGCGGGAAACAUGGCGGCAGUGAGCGGAGUCCGCUGGCUGACCCGAGCGCUGGUCUCCGCCGGGAACCCUGGGGCAUGGAGAGGUCUGAGUACCUCGGCCGCGGCGCACGCUGCAUCGCGGAGCCAGGCCGAGGACGUGAGGGUGGAGGGCUCCUUUCCCGUGACCAUGCUUCCGGGAGACGGUGUGGGGCCUGAGCUGAUGCACGCCGUCAAGGAGGUGUUCAAGGCUGCCGCUGUCCCAGUGGAGUUCCAGGAGCACCACCUGAGUGAGGUGCAGAAUAUGGCAUCUGAGGAGAAGCUGGAGCAGGUGCUGAGUUCCAUGAAGGAGAACAAAGUGGCCAUCAUUGGAAAGAUUCAUACCCCGAUGGAGUAUAAGGGGGAGCUAGCCUCCUAUGAUAUGCGGCUGAGGUAGGUGGUCUGGGUGGAGUGAAUGGUUGAGAGGUGCCAGGGCACCAGGAGCAGAGCUGAUGGCCCUGCCCACCCUCAGGCGUAAGUUGGACUUAUUUGCCAACGUAGUCCAUGUGAAGUCACUUCCUGGGUAUAUGACUCGGCACAACAAUCUAGACCUGGUGAUCAUUCGAGAGCAGACAGAAGGGGAGUACAGCUCUCUGGAACAUGAGGUGAGGCCCCAGAAACUGGGGGAGGGCAAGGAUGAAGAUGGGAGAGAGAUGGAGCUCCUUGUUUCCCUUCCCAGUGUCACCUAGCUGCUGCUCUCUUCUUACCCAGAGUGCAAGGGGUGUGAUUGAGUGUUUGAAGAUUGUCACACGAGCCAAGUCUCAGCGGAUUGCAAAGUUCGCCUUUGACUAUGCCACCAAGAAGGGGCGGAGCAAGGUCAUUGCUGUCCACAAGGCCAACAUCAUGUGAGGGACAUGGCUUUGUGUAGGAUGGGUUCCUGGGAAGGUAGCCCCUGUACUUUCUUGGCUGAUUCUGUCCCCUUUGGCCCAUGGACAGGAAACUUGGGGAUGGGUUGUUCCUGCAGUGCUGUGAGGAAGUUGCUGAACUGUACCCCAAAAUCAAAUUU